GACGUAGGAGGCGAGCGUUGUCCGGAUUCAUUGGGCGUAAAGGGCGCGUAGGCGGCUUGGCAAGUGGAAGGUGAAAUCCCUCGGCUCAACUGAGGAACUGCCUUCCAGACUGCUUUGCUUGAGUCCGGGAGAGGUGAGUGGAAUUCCCAGUGUAGCGGUGAAAUGCGCAGAUAUCAGGAGGAACACCAAUGGCGAAGGCAGCUUGCUGGGACGUAACUGACGCUAAGGCGCGAAAGCGUGGGGAGCGAACAGG
rnacentral:rRNA from 1 species